rnacentral:rRNA from 1 species
ACCUGCAUAGUUACAAUCUUGUUGUUCGUACCAAGAACCGACACAGGUGUCCCUAGGUGAGUAGCCUAAGGCGUGUUAGCAUAAUCGUGGCGAGGGAACUCGGCAAAUUAGCCCUGUAACUUCGGGAGAAGGGGUGCCAGCAGUGAGAGCUGCUGGUCGCAGUGACAAGAGAACACCGACUGUUUAAUAAAAACAUAGGUCUCUGCUAGUUCGAAAGGAUGUGUAUAGAGGCCGAAGCCUGCCCAGUGUCGGCAUCUGAAAAUCUGUUACAACGGAUCGAAGGACCGAUAAACGGCGGGGGUAACUAUAACCCUCUUAAGGUAGCGAAAUACCUUGUCGCUUAAUUGGCGACUUGCAUGAAGGCUCAACGAGUGUUCUACUGUCCCCGCCAUGACGCUAGUGAAAUCAAUCAGUCUGGUGCACAAUCCAGACCCCUCCAUCUGAAAGCGAAGACCCCAUGGAGUUUCACUGCAACCUGUUGUUGUUGUAAGAAUUGGCAUGUGUAGGGUAGGCGGGAGACGUUACCCAGGAAGGUGCGCUAGCAUCUCUCCGAGUCACCGAUGAAACACCGCCCUUGCAAGUUUUUACGACUCACCUCUCCGGAGGAACAGCUAUAGGCAGGCAGUUCGGGUGGGGCGCCACGCCCUCAAAAAGAUAACAAGGGUGCCCAAAGGUUGGCUCAGGUAGGUCAGAAAUCUACCGAAGAAUGUAAGGGUAUAAGCCAGCUUGACUCGGAACCAGACAAUAGGGUUCGGAGAUAGGAAACUAAGGCCUAACGAACCAAUCAACCUCCUGAAUGGGGGUGAUUGAUGUCAGAAAAAUUACCCUGGGGAUAAUUGAGUUGUCACGAGCAAGAGUUCACAUCGACCUCGUGGCUUGCUACUUCGCUGUCGGCUCUCCCUAUCCUGGUGGUGCAGCAGCUGCCAAGGGUGGGGUUGUUCGCCCAUUAAAAGGGAUCGUGAGCUGGGUUUAAAACGUCGCGAGACAGUUUUGUUGCUUUUUGAUGGAGGUGUUGGUACCUGAUGAGAAGGACCCUUUAGUACGAGAGGAACAGGGGUUCGUCGCCUCUAGUUUAUCAGUUGUCUGACAAGGCAAGCUGAGUAGCCACGCGGUAGUGGAUAAGAGCUGAAGGCAUCUAAGCUCGAAGCCAUCUUAAAAAAGAGGUACCCAUAGAACGCUCAUAAAUGAUGAGUUCGAUAGAAGCCGGAUGUAAGUAUCGAGGUUCGCCGAGAUAUUCAGUCCUGGCUAACUAAUGUUCUUUGACGUCGC